rnacentral:tRNA from 1 species
AUUAACUUAGCAUAAGAUAGUGUGCGAGAUUGUAGAUCUUGAGGUAAGUUUACACUUAGUUAAGA